UACAGAGGGUGCGAGCGUUAAUCGGAAUUACUGGGCGUAAAGGGCGCGUAGGCGGUUGAUUAAGAUGGAUGUGAAAACCCUGGGCUUAACCUGGGACGUGCAUCCAAGACUGAUUGACUAGAGUGCAGUAGAGGGUAGUGGAAUUUCCGGUGUAGCGGUGAAAUGCGUAGAUAUCGGAAGGAACACCAGUGGCGAAGGCGACUACCUGGGCUGAGACUGACGCUGAGGCGCGAGAGCGUGGGGAGCAAACAGG
rnacentral:rRNA from 1 species